AUUGAACGCUGGCGGCAGGCUUAACACAUGCAAGUCGAGCGAGCGGCGGACGGGUGAGUAAUGUCUGGGAAACUGCCUGAUGGAGGGGGAUAACUACUGGAAACGGUAGCUAAUACCGCAUACCAUCAGAUGUGCCCAGAUGGGAUUAGCUAGUAGGUGGGGUAAUGGCUCACCUAGGCGACGAUCCCUAGCGGAUCUGAGAGGAUGACCAGCCAAACUGGAACUCAGAAACGGUCCGGACUCCGACGGGAGGCAGCAGUGGGGAGUAUUGCACAAUGGGGUCAAGCCUGAUGCAGCCAUGCCGCGUGUGUGAAGAAGGCCUUCGAGUUGUAAAGCACUGUCAGCGAGGAGGCGUUACUCGCAGAAGAAGCACCGGCUAACUCCGUGCCAGCAGCCGCGGUAAUUC
rnacentral:rRNA from 1 species